AUUAGAUUUGAGGGCCUGUCGACGGCCCUGUUAUUUAAUGGAGUUUUCAAGGCCUGCGCCACCAAUAUUUAACAAUGAUGGUUUGUUGGGUGACUUCCUGAAUGAUAAGAAAAAACGCUGGCGGGUCAAAGAAGAUCAGCCCAAAGAAUUAACAUAGUGGGAUGGCCAGGUAGUGUUAUACAAGAUGGUACUGUAUAAAAUUGAGUGUCCGAGGUUGUUCUGCAGACCAACUCGGCUUUUUUGAAUCUUCAUUAAAGUCUAUUUUGGAUUCUCAAGUUCCUGAGUCUUUGCAUGCUUUUUUGCCAGGAAAUCUGAAGUGUUUUCCACGACAUAAUCUUGGCAUUGUCGGCAGAAUUGGCAUCGGGCUGGCUGGCUGUCAGCUGCAGAAGGCGCCGUGGGUCGGGUCGCACAAACAACACGUGGCCACAUUGAGAGGAAAGUGCACGAGUACCAGAACCAGAGGACAACCAGCCCCGAGCAGUGGUGCCAGGAGACCAGGUCUACAUCAGGGUCUUCAGGAGGAGGUGGAACGAGUCGAGACGCGACGGUCCCUUCAGGGUGGUCCAAGCUACGCCGUCAGCGAUACGAGUAGAGAGCAGCAAUACCUGGUACCACCUCAACCACUGCACCAAGGUCUCACGAGGCGCAGAGCAGAGACCACAUGAGGAAGGUGAGGAUGCAGAUGUUCCAAGCAGGGAUGAGCAAGAGGAGGAAGGUGCAGGAUUACCCCUGGGGGCAGCCGAGGAACCUACUACACCGAGGUCGGCGGAGGAACUGGAGUCUCCCGGAGAGGGGACAUCCUGUAGAGGUGUGCGGACUAAUGACGGGCAGUCUGCUGUUGAUCGGCAUAGGGAUAUGGCUGCUGCCAUCUGCCCAAGGAGAGAUGGUACUGGAGAUGAUGGAGGAACACCUCCUAUCGGUGACUCCACUGGGCCAGAAAGCCCAGGAGGAGCCCCUGCGGGUACCAAUGAAAGACCAGGUUUCUCAGCCAUCGGGGAGGAAUUCUCUACCAUCAACCUUGCCGACUUGGGCUGGGAAUGACAUGACGACGCCCCCUACUGACAGUAGCGACUCAGACACUGACCUAGACAGGGGUAUGCACAGCAGCGCUAUUAGCAGGGGUAAUGCCAUUCCGGUUAAGAACUAUAGGGAUAAGGGUACUAGUUCUCAUUGAUACAGAUGAUCUUGGAGAUUGUAACCAGACCGCCUGGCUUGCAAUAAUAAGAGAAGGACGGCGGGGUUGGUCAAUUAGAGCUCGCGGUGAGAAAGGGGUGUGCGGACCCACUGGUAGAGUAAAAGUAGAGUUUGUGAGACAUUUAGUGUUUUCCAGGUAACAGGAAUGCAGUGUGAAUAUGGGGCUAGAAGUAAAAAAACACAAGCUAAACAAAUGUUUGACAAAGAAGCCCCCCAUGCAGCUUUAGUAGAAUACGGUAUGGUAAAGAGGCUAGGAGAAAC
ensembl:lncRNA